CCUACGGGAGGCAGCAGUCGAGAAUCAUUCACAAUGGGGGAAACCCUGAUGGUGCGACGCCGCGUGGGGGAAUGAAGGUCUUCGGAUUGUAAACCCCUGUCAUGUGGGAGCAAAUUAAAAAGAUAGUACCACACGAGGAAGAGACGGCUAACUCUGUGCCAGCAGCCGCGGUAAUACAGAGGUCUAAAGCGUUGUUCGGAAUCACUGGGCGUAAAGCGUGCGUAGGCUGUUUCGUAAGUCGUGUGUGAAAGGCGCGGGCUCAACCCGCGGACGGCACAUGAUACUGCGAGACUAGAGUAAUGGAGGGGGAACCGGAAUUCUCGGUGUAGCAGUGAAAUGCGUAGAUAUCGAGAGGAACACUCGUGGCGAAGGCGGGUUCCUGGACAUUAACUGACGCUGAGGCACGAAGGCCAGGGGAGCGAAAGGGAUUAGAUACCCCAGUAGUC
rnacentral:rRNA from 1 species